CAAAGAAUAGUUUAAAAAAAAUAAUAAUUUUGGAGAUUAUUGAUGAGAAUAUUUUUUUUCUUUGA
rnacentral:tRNA from 1 species